rnacentral:ncRNA from 1 species
CAGAGCUGGUAAUAAUAAACUAUGUUGUGCCUAGAUGUUCCCGAGUGGUACACUCAACUUAAGUUUAGGAGCGACACAAUUUAGCACCGCCGCUCUA